GCGUCUUGGUCAAGUGGUUAAGGCAUUCGAGUAGCAUUUUUGAGAUCCUGAGUUCGACUCUCGGUGGGAGCA